rnacentral:rRNA from 1 species
GAUGAACGCUGGCGGCGUGCCUAAUACAUGCAAGUCGAGCGAACAGACGAGGAGCUUGCUCCUUUGACGUUAGCGGCGGACGGGUGAGUAACACGUGGGUAACCUACCUAUAAGACUGGGAUAACUUCGGGAAACCGGAGCUAAUACCGGAUAAUAUUUCGAACCGCAUGGUUCGAUAGUGAAAGAUGGCUUUGCUAUCACUUAUAGAUGGACCUGCGCCGUAUUAGCUAGUUGGUAAGGUAACGGCUUACCAAGGCAACGAUACGUAGCCGACCUGAGAGGGUGAUCGGCCACACUGGAACUGAGACACGGUCCAGACUCCUACGGGAGGCAGCAGUAGGGAAUCUUCCGCAAUGGGCGAAAGCCUGACGGAGCAACGCCGCGUGAGUGAUGAAGGUCUUCGGAUUGUAAAACUCUGUUAUUAGGGAAGAACAAACGUGUAAGUAACUGUGCACGUCUUGACGGUACCUAAUCAGAAAGCCACGGCUAACUACGUGCCAGCAGCCGCGGUAAUACGUAGGUGGCAAGCGUUAUCCGGAAUUUAUGGGCGUAAAGCGCGCGUAGGCGGUUUUUUAAGUCUGAUGUGAAAGCCCACGGCUCAACCGUGGAGGGUCAUUGGAAACUGGAAAACUUGAGUGCAGAAGAGGAAAGUGGAAUUCCAUGUGUAGCGGUGAAAUGCGCAGAGAUAUGGAGGAACACCAGUGGCGAAGGCGACUUUCUGGUCUGUAACUGACGCUGAUGUGCGAAAGCGUGGGGAUCAAACAGGAUUAGAUACCCUGGUAGUCCACGCCGUAAACGAUGAGUGCUAAGUGUUAGGGGGUUUCCGCCCCUUAGUGCUGCAGCUAACGCAUUAAGCACUCCGCCUGGGGAGUACGACCGCAAGGUUGAAACUCAAAGGAAUUGACGGGGACCCGCACAAGCGGUGGAGCAUGUGGUUUAAUUCGAAGCGACGCGAAGAACCUUACCAAAUCUUGACAUCCUUUGACCCUUCUAGAGAUAGAAGUUUCCCCUUCGGGGGACAAAGUGACAGGUGGUGCAUGGUUGUCGUCAGCUCGUGUCGUGAGAUGUUGGGUUAAGUCCCGCAACGAGCGCAACCCUUAAGCUUAGUUGCCAUCAUUAAGUUGGGCACUCUAAGUUGACUGCCGGUGACAAACCGGAGGAAGGUGGGGAUGACGUCAAAUCAUCAUGCCCCUUAUGAUUUGGGCUACACACGUGCUACAAUGGACAAUACAAAGGGCAGCGAAACCGCGAGGUCAGGCAAAUCCCAUAAAGUUGUUCUCAGUUCGGAUUGUAGUCUGCAACUCGACUACAUGAAGCUGGAAUCGCUAGUAAUCGUAGAUCAGCAUGCUACGGUGAAUACGUUCCCGGGUCU